rnacentral:rRNA from 1 species
GGCGCAGCCUGAUGCAGCACGCCGCGUGAGGGAUGACGGCCUUCGGGUUGUAACCUCUUUUAGCAGGGAAGAAGCGAGAGUGACGGUACCUGCAGAAUAAGCACCGGCUAACUACGUGCCAGCAGCCGCGGUAAUACGUAGGGUGCCAGC